UGGGAAAUGUAGUCCGGCCUCCCUCAGGCCUCCGCCCAGCCGAAUUUUUCAGCCUCCUCGGGCCCCAGAACCAAAGGCUAGGUGGCGUGGAUCCGUAACUGGCCCGUUUGGAAGACUUGGGAUUGUAGCUGUCCUGCGCACUAUCAGCUGCAGGCCCAGGUCACUGACGGUCGUAGAGCCGACGAACUCGGCCCAUCUUUGUGGUAACUGGCUUGCCGCAGAAGGCUCUGGGAAUUGUAGUUGGGCGGGGGCGGUCUCGCGCCCCGAGGUCCGAGUUGCAGCCGUUACCGCUCGCUACCGAGGUCAGAACGAGGCACAGCCGGCCGACUCGACCGUCAGUUGUAGAAGAUUUUCCAGCGUCUCGGGCGAGCUCCUCCGGCGUUAAUAUCGAUUUCUGAGCACCCAGGAAGAAAGUGUCAAAUAUAAAGAAGCUUAUGAAGAGUUUCUCUGAAACUUAACCUUCCCACAGCACAAGUGAGUCUCCUUGGGGACUUCUCCAGUCAAGAAUUUGACCACAGCAAUAAGGGGGAACUGUGUCCUUGUUCGCCCAGAUCCCUCAAAAACAGGGCAGGAUUCUGAUGGUGAAGGUGGAGGCAGAGGACCACUUGUAGGGGAAGGAGACCAUACUGCCAAGGAAUCUUUCAGCUGCGAGCUGGCCUGUCCACAAUUAAAACAGGAGGUUUGGGAUCCCAUGAGGGUCUGCGAUGCCUCUGGCGACUCUGCUGCCAGUGGCCGAGGCCUGUGAUGCACUCGAAGGAGCAGAUCCUGUUGCUGCUGGCACUGGAGCAGUUCCUUGCCAUCCUGCCCCAUGAGCCGCAAGACAGCCACCUGGGCAGUGGAGAGGAGGUGGAUCUUGUACUGGAAGAUUCAAGUGCAGGUUUCACAUUUCUGGCUGAGGUUCCCACUCCUGGAGCUCCUUAUCCACCUUCUUCUUGAACUUGAGAAGAAAGGACAUUUUCUGGGGAGAGAUGGCACCUCCACCACCAGCACAAGACUCCCCAUGCAUCAUCAACUUCAGCCAUUUGAACCCCAGUUCAAAUGUGGGUCUUGGGAGCAACACCGCUCCAAGCCAGUGAUGGAGACCUCAGGACUGAGGACAAGGAAUUCAGCUCACAUCAGGAACUUGCUGUAUAAAGGCCCCACGUACGACUCAGGCAGACUCCAAGGAAGCAGGCACCUGAGCUUGGAGAUGCCCCAGAAUGUUUCAGUACCUUAGUCCAGCAUCAGGGAACCUUCCAGAGGAGAUGCCAAGCAGCUUCCCUGCCCACGAGAAGAGUUUCAAGCAGGAGAGACUGAAGCUGUGAAGGUGACAAAUGUGACCAAACCUGCAAGCCAGACUUAAAGCUCUUUGAGGAAGAAUCACAUCUUGUCCUUUGUAUUCUCCAUGGCACCUCUGAACACCACCAAAGCUUCAGGACAGUUUGUGGACUGGCCACCGUAUACGGCUGUGGACACUGCAAUCGAACCCAGCGAAUUUGUAGUUCAGGGCAGUCAUGGAUGCAGGUGUGUUUACCUCUGAAGAUGGAGCCUGCCUUCUCUGUGAUGGUUGUUGGUCAUUCUCUCCAGAUCACACAGGAGGAAGAUGAUCUCAUCCUGAUUGGCACCUCUUGCGCCUCACAUCCGCCCCCCAGCCAGGCAGGCCAGCCCCAUUAGCCCUGACAUCCAUAACAUGGCAGAUGCUUCGUCCCCAUUGCCUCAACUCUGCCUGAGAGCUGUUGCUAGCCACCAUGCAUUGUGCUAAUCUCGGGAAUGAUCUUAGGGAAGGGGAGACAAGGAACAAGCAAGAAAUCAGUGUCGCAGCUGUCCAUCAGACAUUAAAUAUGGCUACAGGGACCAUUUUUAGCAUGAACUCGGAGCUCUUUGAGGGCAUCUCCAUAUUCACAGUACCUAGCUUAGCACCUGGCACAUAGUAGGUAUUCAUCUGGCACGGAGUAGAUAGAUGCUUCUGCAGUCACAAGCAACUGAGGAGUUCAUGGAGAUAACGAGAAUACCCGUUAAUUACUGUACCCACUCCCACUGGCCUGUGAGGGUACGUUGUCCCUUUAGUGCAUAGAGGAGGUCUGAGUCCCAAGCACAAAAUGCAGAAAAGGCCUCUUGCCUUUUGUUAGUUGCAAAAUUUUUAUCUCCCCUACAAAAAAAAAGGGGGUGACACGUUUUGUGUCUAUAUCCAGAGUUUUAUAGAGCCUUGGAGCUCUUCUACCUUUUUUUAACAGCCAGUCAGAAUGUUUUUGGUGGGAUAAGAUGCAGUAGUCCCUAGUGCUGGCACUGCGCAUCUGGCACUGCGCAUAAGAACUGCAUUUCCUAGGGACCCAAGGCUGCUGUCCAGUAGCCAAACCUUGAGCCUAGUGAAGAUAUGAGCCCGUCAUGGAACUUUAAGCAGGGAAAGAAAGGCGGAGGGUCUGGCCAGCUGCCUCUUCCUCUGCUUAGCAGAGGCUUACAAGCUCAUGAAGUUGUCUCUGGACAGGAGUACAGCUGUGACUGGGGUUUUGGCUGGAAUGUCAUUUACAGUGAGCAUCCAGAAUACCUCUGAUGACUAUCCCAAGACCAAAUUGAAUAAGAAAUUACAGAAACCAGAGAGGGGGUUGGUAUGGAUUUAAGUAAAGGCUAUUGGAGGAGGAAGGGAGUGGAGGCACAGGUGACUCUAAGUUCAGCACUCCUAGGGAGAUGGCUGAGGCUAUUCCAAAGGCUUCUAGGAAGUUGCUCAAGAAACUGGUCUAGAGAGAAAGCUGUAAAGUGCUUUAAGGUAUGUAAAAACACCCCAUUCCCCGCUACCCACCGUGGAGGACACCAGGAGAGCUCCCCAUCCAGAACAGCCAGGACAGCGUCUUUUGGUGGUCACUGGCAAGUUGACUCUCCUCAGUGGAGCUCAGACCCCACCCACAGAGUGCGUAAGACUCUAACAAUAGCAGCAGCUAAUAAUGUGCAUUUAGUGCCAGCUGUGCCAAGUGCUUCACAUGCAGUAUCUCAUUUAAUCCUCCCAACAACCCUGUGAAAUAGGAUGUUUCUAUCCUCAUGUUACAAAUGAAGAAAAUAAGACUUAGAGAGGUUAAAUAACUUGCCCAAGGUCAUGGAAUUAAUAAGCAGAGGAGCAAGGAUUCAAAUCCAGGUCUGCCCAUUACCCAUGCUUUUGAAAGUUCUAGUUUUCCCAUUGCAGAAUUUUUAAUUCCAUUUUCUGGAAUAACCAGUCCCCUUUCUGUCUUUCGUAUGGCCAUAUCGAAAUAGUCCUUCUUCCACAGUCCCUUCUUCAGCCUGUCAGAGCCACAGAAUGGUUUGUAAGAGAUCAAGUCCAGCAGGUGCUGACCACUUCCAAUCCCUGUUAAAGUCAUGUUCCUGAGAGACAUGCAGCUUUCUCCAAGCAGUCACUGGAAUUUCUGCUGUGGGAAUUCGGGGAGAUUCUUGAGUUAUGGCAGACUCAAGAAUCUGUGAUUAUGCUCUCAAUCCUGUAUGGUAUUCAGGUAGAACAAAGCAGGAACAAUUUAUUUCUGCUCCACUGUGUCUGGGCCUCAGCUGGAGUGGCCCAAAUGGCUGCUUUGGCUGCAGUGGUUGGACUGUGGCAUAGGUCAGGGGCCUUGGUUCUGUCAGCCAGCUGGAUUUCUUUCUUCUUCAUGUGGUAUCUUCUGAAAUGGGGCUAAAAUGUCCAAAAUGGCUUUUUCCACUCAUGCGUCUCAUGCCUUCGUCUUCUCUCAUGUGUCCUCUCUCUUGGUAGAGUAGCCUAAUCUUAUACUGUUGCUCUACUCCACCAUACCUGUCCUACGUCGCAAUCCCUUCUGUAGGGAACUGCCUCAUACAGCCCCCGCUGCGAGGUGGCUGUGUCGUAUCACACGACUUUGCUUCUUUGCCCCUCCCCAUGCACACAUACAGGUCACUGGACCAGGAUCCAUGUAUAGGCCUGCCAACAGCUUUCAAAGUCACCUGGCACAAAAAUAUAAGGAAAGCGAGUUGGACGGUCAGAGUCUCCUUUUGGGAAAUUUGAACCAAAAAAUCAGACAGUAUAGGCAGAGUGUGACAAGAUGUUAUGAGGGCAGGAAGGGCCUGGGUGGACCAUUGUGCUAGCCAGAACUAAAGUGAAGAAGAAACUUGGAGAUUGAAAAAAAAAAGAUAUGACACAGAGAAAAUGCACUUAUAGUAGAGGGAAAAAUGAGCCUGGUUUUGGCAAGAGGAUAAAGGAGGUAAUGACCAGAGCAGAGCUGGGACUCGUGAAAGGCAAAGAGAGGUGUCCUAGUGCCCCUGGGCUUACUAGGCCCAGGCUCACCUGUGAGUGUCAUUACAGCAGGCUAGCUGGUUACCUAUUUUCUUUGUUGUCAAUUGUUGGCUUAGAAAUGGGCAUGUGACUUGGUUCUGCCUAAACUUAUGAGAAAAUGGCUGGGGGAUCUUCUGGGAAGAAUUUUGCUUUUUGAUUCAAGGAGAGAUAGUGAAGAGCCAUGUAUCUUCUUCCUGCUUUGAACAUGGAUGUUUGAGGACAUGAUACUAAGAGCUAUAGCAGCCAUCUUGAGACCAUGAGGCAACAAGACCAAGGGGAAAAAGCCAACAUACCGAGGUUAGCCAAUCAGACAAAUAAAAAGAGCCUGGGUUCUUGAUGAUGUUGUUGAGCCACUAUACCUAUCCUGGAACCACCUUCUUCUAGUCUUUUUGAUAUUAGUUAAAUGUCUUUAUUUUCUAAGCAGAUUUCUGCUAUUUGAAGCUUUAGGCAUUUUUAACCAGGAUAGCACUCCUCUGAACCUCUCCAUAUACAGCUCCUUAGAGCCCCAUGGUUCUUGAUAAAGCUCCAACCCCAGUUUAGACAUUGGAAAUCUUACAUGGUAAGAAAUAAAAGUCAAGACUUCUCACAGCCUACAGAGCAAUUUCAGCACUUGGUCCCAAUUCCCAGGGCCUAUAGAACACAGACAAGGAAAAAUAAAUAGAUUCAGGAAAGUUCUAGAUGCAUAAGUAUGAGUCUUCUAAAAUGGGUCUCAAUGUUGAAUUUUAAGAAGACCAAGUUCAGCGGGAAGGGUGUGGGUGUGGAGAAGUGUUAAUGCCUGAGAUGCAGAGCCCAGGCAUGGACGAGAAAGCCAUGGAAAGCACACGGAAGGAACAGCAAACUGGUAUGGGCAGAUGGUGGGUGAACUGAAUGACUAGUGUCUACAGCAGUAUUUUAUGGGCUCCAAGUAGCCUAUGGCAGCUGGAACUAAACUGGUGGGAGGCUAGGUCUUGUAGUUACUCUCCAGCCAGAUUUAAUGACAUUUUAGAUCCUCUUAGGAGUAAGGUGCCCUGAAUUGUUGCCAUUCCCUGCAUAGCUGCAUUCCUCACGUUCUUCAUUCUUUGUUUUUUCUCCACUUCUCCCUUUUUUCUCUACCUUUCCUUCCUGUCUUCUUUAAGCACAGCCAGGAGCCAGAGAUGCACAAGACCCAAAUCUCUUCUACCUCAAUGGGAGAGUGAAUAUAGUGGGAGGCAACAAUAUCUUCUGGAAGACUUAGAAUCCUGGUCUGGGGAUAAGAAGUUAGGCUGGGAAGAGAGAAGGCAGUCAGUUGAUAAAGACUAGAUUAAGCUCUCUUCUGGUCCACCUUUUACCAAGCAGUAUGUUUUUUGUUUUUUCAACACAAGAAAAACUGCCCAGUCCUUCCCUUACCAAAUGAGAAGUUGAACUUGAACUCUAGCCCUUCCUCUUCAAACUUCUAGUUUUGGAUAUAAAACAGAUAAACUGGCAUCCUCCUCAUGUAUCCUACAAAUACAGAUUACUCCAUUUCAUUCAAAACUUGAGAAGUCACCCACCCAUUUCCCAUCCGAAAGUAAUAUUCAACAGUAUAGAAAUGUGGCCCGUAGAUGUUCAUAAAAUUAAUGGGGCCCAAACACGUGUUGCAGUGAUAAUAGAAUUUGCAACCACCAGAUUCUGUCACUGAGCCUUGCCCUUCUCGGUGCACCCUUAUGCACCCCAGAUAUCUUUUAUACAGCCCUGCCCCCGAAGGCCAAAACCAGGCCAACAACCCUGAUGUUUGUGUAUUAUAUUACUUCAUUUAUUCAGCAGAAAUAUACUGCGAACCUAGUAUAAUUAGAAGUUAGCCUUAUAAAAGCAAUGAUAAUAUUUGAAAGAUAAGUCAUUAAAGACAAAAAUAUCCUAUGAGAUAAUCAGAGAAAGGAAUGAAAGCUUUGGUUGGGGUGGAGGAAGCAAACGGUCAAAACCCCCACUUAAUGCAAUUAAUACUUUCAUGUGAUACUUAAUAAAGCCCAAAUUCUUCCCAAAAUUUCCCCAUGUAUCACUAAGGAUUCUCCAAAAUCCAAUACGGAAAAGAAUUAAAGGCUUUUCCUCAUUCUCCAUAAUCAAGGUUUUUCUCCAGUAUGAAUUUGCCUGAUUACUAAACACUCUCCCACAAUCUUUAUAACAUGAGAGAGUCUUUCCUGUGAAUUCUCCAAUGAUGAGAAAGGGCUACGCUGUCCCCAAAUGAUUUUCCACAUUGAUGAUGCUCACAGGCUUCUUUCUAGGAUGAAUGAUCUGAUGUUCAAUAUGCUCAGCGCCUCCCCUAGAUUUCCAUAUUCAUCACAUGUGACCAUUUUAAGUCCCAAGUGAAUUAGCUGACAUUGUCUAAGGAUGGAACUCUGAUUGAAGGUUCUUCCGCAUCCAUUAUGCUCUUAGGGCUCCUCUCUGCCAUGAAAUCCCAGAUGUCUCAUUAGCUCUGAACACUGUGUAAAAGCAUUUUUACAUUCAUUACGUGCAUAUGGCUUUUCUCCAGUGUGAAUUCUCUGACGUUGAAUGAGCUUUACUUUCCUAAAAGCAUUCACAUUUAUUGCGUUUGUAGAGUGUCUACUGCAUGUGAAUCAGCUAAUGCUGUGUGGUGCUGGGAUGCUGACAGAUGCCUCCCACAAACAGGGAUUCUCUCCAAGAUAGAUGUUAAGAUGUUCAGUAGAAUGGGAGCCAAGGAAAGUUGCCUGUAUUCAUAACAAAGAUGUUCUCUCCAAUCUGAAUACUGUAAUAAUGAAUAAAUUUUGAAUUCUAAGAUUUGGUAACACUUA